rnacentral:rRNA from 1 species
UACGUAGGGUGCGAGCGUUGUCCGGAAUUAUUGGGCGUAAAGCGCUCGUAGGCGGUGUGUCGCGUCGGUCGUGAAAACUUGGGGCUUAACCCUGAGCUUGCGGUCGAUACGGGCAUCACUGGAGUUCGGCAGGGGAGACUGGAAUUCCUGGUGUAGCGGUGAAAUGCGCAGAUAUCAGGAGGAACACCGGUGGCGAAGGCGGGUCUCUGGGCCGAUACUGACGCUGAGGAGCGAAAGCGUGGGGAGCGAACAGG